AAUUACAAUAAAUUAAAUUCCGCGAGGUGAACCAACGCCUGUGACAUCGUUUUGGUAGAGUCCCUGAAGUGGAUACCUUGGUAUGCCGGGUUGUCAAAUCAUGCAAAUGAAUGCAAUCCUUAAAUAAUAAUUAAAAUUGACAACAACACUUCAAAAGAUCUGCAAUUUUAUUAUCUAUGUCUACAUGUUUCGCCUGCAAGGCAGGCUUCAUCAGGACAAUUUUUAUACAGAAAUUGAGCCCCUGAAGUACUCCAAAGUGGUGCAUUGAAUUUGACGUCGUCAUGGUGAGAGAAACAAUGAAAAGUGAAAGUAGCAAUACAGAGUUAUAAAUAGAUAAGAUAAAUAUAGAAAAUUAAAGUUUGUAUACAAUGUAACUUGAGUUUGUUUUACUAUUAUAUGAUACAUGAAAUUGUUCUAAAGGCUUGGCAUCUAAUAGGACGAACUUCCCAUGGUUCCUACCACUUCGCAAGGCUUCUCUUCCAACCUGGCCAUAGUUGGAGGUUACUACUUCCCGGCGCGUCGGCAACAAUAGGAAGAUUAUGAUCGCCGCUGUGGAUAAUAAAAUCGUCAAAAACUGUUCCUUUGUUAAUUAUUUGGUGACUCUAUAUAAUUUUUUGGAUCGUCUGCAGUAGUUGGUCUGUAUAAUGGCAUAGUUGUGAAUUCCUGGUUCAUUUAAGAUUGGCGCCCGUGGUACGUUUCUUCUGCAAUCAUUUAUAUCUGCUAUCAUUUAUAGAUGUAUAGGUGGUAUCGGACAUCUUGGUCAUCUUGAUUCAGUUGUUAUUUCGUCGUAAGUAUGGAAUAUUCCUUGGUCCAUGUAUAUGCUGGUGGCCUGUAGAUCGGCGCUGUUAGCUUGGCGGUUCCUUUCG
rnacentral:lncRNA from 1 species